rnacentral:lncRNA from 1 species
GGGAAACCCAAGCAGGAGCCCCAAGGGUUUAGGGAGGCCGCUGCUGCUGCGGGGCUGCCCCCAGAGAGGGUCCUGGCUGUCCCAGUGCGGUGUGGGGUCUGCAGCACUCAGGGUGCUGGUGCCCUGCUCGUGUCCCAGGUGGAAGCUGUCGGCUCUGCCCUCCCCACCUGAGCCCAUUUAGGAGCUGGGGGGAGCCUGCAGGAGGGGCAGGGUCAGUGCUGGGCUCCUGGUGGUAAUGGGGAGGGAGGCUGGGGGCUGAGCCCCCAGGGUGCCCCUUUCAUCCUGCCCCAGAUGCCCUGGCUGAGCCCACCGCCAGCAGCUGCCGUCCCCGGGGAUUUCACGGGAAACAGGCGCGAGAAGCAGACCAAGGAACCAGAGCUGCAGCUCCUGGGGGGCUGCGCCUCCACCUCUGGGGGCCUCGGAGAGGUGGCAUGGGGAGGCUGUCCCCAAAUCCCACGCAAUUUGGGGUGGCAGCUGGAAACGGUCCCAAGGGUGGAGAGGCUCCCUUCGGGCAGGCGAUGCUCUGAAUUUGCUGCUGAACACGCAGGAGGCUGCGAGCGCUGCAGGGUUUGCGCCCCCAGGAAGCGUUUGGCAGGAGCCUGGAAUUUCGCGUCUGUGGCACCGGGGACAGCCGAGGCUCUGAGUGCGGGGAAACGCGCUUUCUGCGGGCGAGAGCACCCAGACCUGGGGGAUCGAUCCGUCCCCGCGUCCAGAAACUCCAUCCAGAAGCUCGGGGCGGGCCGAGCUUGCCGAGGCCGGGGACACGGAGGGAGCCAGGAUGUGGAAAUAUUAUCCGCGAGCGAUUCGCAGGGCACCACAGGCGGAGUCAGGGGGCAGCAGCUGGAUGCAGGAAGAGCAGAGCAGUCUGCUGGCCUCCAGGAGAUGGUGAGCGAGAGGCUGCUUGCUGCUGGCGAGGCGAUCCUGGCAAACCACGGAGGCAGGGCCUUUCUAAACGGCUCUCCUUACCCUUCCUUCGGUAGCAGCCUCACAAACGCUCGUCCUUAGCCAAAUGCUUCUCCCUUGGCGGCCGUGGCUGCUCUGGCAGGUUUUCAUUCCUUGCAACAAGCCGCUCGUGGCGUUUAUGUUUUCCAGGUGCGCUGUCAGACCCCGGGGAGCCGGGCGGCCCCGGUUCCUCCACCUCCGCCCCGUUUCCCUCAGAAACCCUCCUCCGAGCAUCCCAGCCCCUGGGCGACGCGGAGGGUUUUUGUUUGAAGCUCCCCGGCCGCCUCUGCCAAGCUCCGCUCUGCCUUCUGCUUCCACCGCCUGCUAUUUCCCCAUCACCGCCGCGCAUCCAGCGCAACGCAACGGAUUUCACGAAAUUAAGUAUUUCUCCUACACACGGCAUAUUUGCCCGGUGAUUAUAACUAGUCCCCGAGGUAGCCAAGCACAGCAGAAUUUCAGUUUAAUAUGCACACCCACGCAGCCUCGCUAAAAACCCAAGGCACUCCCCCGGUCCUGCUCGGGAAGCGCUGAGCGCCGCGGCGAGCAGCUCGGGUUUCAGCUCCACCACUCGCACAAGCUAGGACUGGGAAUACUCUGUAAUCUGCUGUGAGGAGGGGGGAAAAAAAAAAAGAGGAAAAAAAAAGGUGGGGAAGUAAGUUUCCGAAAGAUUUCAAGGUAUCCCCAGCGGCCCAAGAGCAAGCAGGGUUUAAGAACGCAGGAAUGUCAGGCAAGGCAGGCACAGACGCAGCGGCUGCGGGUUUGUUAACGCAGCCACGACUCCCCGCUCGCUUUGUCUUGGGUUCGCAGCGAACUUUUAACUCCAAAACGCGUCAGUUCCCCGCUUUGUUUGGGCGGGCAGCACGUCUGGAAGCUCGCAGCACCUGCUCCGCGUCACGCUGUAAAAACAACAACUGCUCCGCUGAAAAAUAAAAUAAAAAAGGAGAGAAUUACCCCGGUUGCG